rnacentral:rRNA from 1 species
GACGAACGCUGGCGGCGUGCUUAACACAUGCAAGUCGAACGGUGAAGGGACCGGUUUUUGCUGGUUCUGGAUGAGUGGCGAACGGGUGAGUAACACGUGAGUAACCUGCCCCCCUCUUCUGGAUAACCGCAUGAAAGUGUGGCUAAUACGGGAUAUUCUGCGCCUGCUGCAUGGUGGGUGUGGGAAAGAUAUUGUUUCGGUGGGGGAUGGGCUCGCGGCCUAUCAGCUUGUUGGUGGGGUGAUGGCCUACCAAGGCAGUGACGGGUAGCCGGCCUGAGAGGGUGGACGGUCACACUGGGACUGAGACACGGCCCAGACUCCUACGGGAGGCAGCAGUGGGGAAUAUUGCACAAUGGGCGCAAGCCUGAUGCAGCGACGCCGCGUGAGGGAUGGAGGCCUUCGGGUUGUAAACCUCUUUCGCCAGUGAAGCAGGCCUGUCCCUUUUGUGGGUGGGUUGACGGUAGCUGGAGAAGAAGCGCCGGCUAACUACGUG